rnacentral:rRNA from 1 species
CCUACGGGUGGCAGCAGUGAGGAAUAUUGGUCAAUGGACGAGAGUCUGAACCAGCCAAGUAGCGUGAAGGAUGACUGCCCUAUGGGUUGUAAACUUCUUUUAUAUGGGAAUAAAAUGUUCCACGUGUGGGAUUUUGUAUGUACCAUAUGAAUAAGGAUCGGCUAACUCCGUGCCAGCAGCCGCGGUAAUACGGAGGAUCCGAGCGUUUUCCGGAUUUAUUGGGUUUAAAGGGAGCGUAGGUGGAUUGUUAAGUCAGUUGUGAAAGUUUGCGGCUCAACCGUAAAAUUGCAGUUGAAACUGGCAGUCUUGAGUACAGUAGAGGUGGGCGGAAUUCGUGGUGUAGCGGUGAAAUGCUUAGAUAUCACGAAGAACUCCGAUUGCGAAGGCAGUUCACUGGACUGCAACUGACACUGAGGCUCGAAAGUGUGGGUAUCAAACAGGAUUAGAUACCCUAGUAGUC